rnacentral:tRNA from 1 species
AAGUUUAGGUUAAACAAACCAAGAGCCUUC